GGAUGUGAGGGAGAUCUGGUUGCAACAUCUGUCACCACAUUAAUCAACAGAAUGAUUUGGCUGAUCUGGCUGGCUAGGCGGGUUUCCCUUCCUCCUUCACCUCUCCUUGUACUCCACUUGGUCGAAAAUGAUAACCAUCUCCUAGUAGAGAAGGGCUGUUCUUUGGUCACAGAUAUACAAGUAGCUAUUCUCCCCCUGCUAGAACCUCCAAACAAGUUCUCAAAAAAAAAAAAAAGAUUUGGAAAAAAAAGUGAGUUUUUGAAAAUAUCAGGAUCUUC
ensembl:misc_RNA 7SK 7SK RNA